rnacentral:rRNA from 1 species
UACGGAGGAUCCGAGCGUUAUCCGGAAUUAUUGGGUUUAAAGGGUGCGUAGGCGGCCAUUUAAGUCAGCGGUGAAAUUUUGCAGCUUAACUGUAACAGUGCCGUUGAUACUGUUUGGAUAGGAUUUGGUUGUAGUGUGCGGAAUGUGUGGUGUAGCGGUGAAAUGCUUAGAUAUCACACAGAACACCGAUUGCGAAGGCAGCACACUAAGUCAUUAUUGACGCUGAGGCACGAAAGUGUGGGGAUCAAACAGGAUUAGA